CAAAAUUGUCAAUUGAUCCCUUAAGGGGUUAUUGUCCUUUAAUGACAAUUUUUCACAAUUUGUUCAUCAUAUUUGCUAACUUUAAAAAAUCUUCUCCUCUAAAACUACUCAACCAAAUUCAACCAAACUUCAUUUGAAUGAUCAGUAGGGUGUAUAAAAUAAAGUUUGUGUUUUAUUUUCUAUUUCGUCAAAAAACAUGGCCGAAGGCAUUGUUUACCAGGUGAGCGAUUCAGGCUCUUGAGAGCCUCUUGUUUAUUAUUUGAUUUAUUUUUAUUUU
rnacentral:lncRNA from 1 species